AACUAGUAUAUUGUCUCCACCAUUUUCUCUCCUCCCAUUGUUCUACAGUAGUCAGUAAUUACUGCCCACAUUGAUGCGCUCCCUGAUUCACCGUGUCCACUCUUUUGUCCACAGCCGUGUGUCCGGGGGUCUCCACAUCUGCCCUCGGGGAACUGGAAAAGAGAAUAACACCAGUUAAACCACGGACGCUGUGCUGGAUGUGUGACAUCAAACAUCAUUUCCUAAACUGCUGGUGAUGAAAGGCCACAAAUGCAGCCAGAGAUUUGGCAAACAAAUGAGACCCACUGCCAGUCUGUGUGGCUAACUGCAGAUGAGAGGCAGGUGGCAGUCGAAGGAACGGAGUCAUCCUCAGUCCGAAGAGUGGAGACUCGUCGAGAGUGUGUGGUCCAUGUGCAGGGACGGUGGACACAGCAGCUGCUCCUGACUCUGAUGGUGUGAUUUGAACAGAUGCAGCGGGUGAAGCCGGGACACAGCGCAGCACAUACAUAAGCUCCAGGCACACACUGCUAGGAUUCAGGGCCUACUUUAAGUCUCAAUGGAUCCAAGAAGAAACUCAUCCCAUUGGAGGAUACAAACUUUGGAGUCCUCAAGGAACCUCGUCUGUUCUUUUCAGCCAGAAGCUGCUUCUUUUAAAAGCUGAUGAAAGCAGACUGUAUUCAAAAUAGGAGUGAGGGGGCUGGUGGCCUAAUUUCAGCUUGAAUAUGACUGGUCUUGAAUAAUUUUUUGUGUUAACAGAGCCAUCUAUCUGUUGAAUUUAGAUCACAUUUCCUAAAUAUCCCCUCGUGAUAUUUUCUAUAGAAGUUAUUUUUGCAUGUGUGUCUGUGUCAUCGCAGCAGACAGGGAGUCACUGCUGUUCCACACCAGAAACUCAACAUCAUUUCCUGUUUUAAUUUUCCCCAAAAAUAAGAUCAAAUUGUUUCACUUCUUACAAGCUGAAUUACGUCGCAAAUCCCACACAGCCUCCUGCUACAUGUGUAUUUAUGUGAGUUAUAUGAGAUAAGCUGAGAUGUACAAUAAUAUUACAAACCCAUACAUAAUUAAAAUGUUCAGUUUUUACUCUUUGAAAUGAGAAAACAUUAAUGGAGUAUUUUUUUUUUUAAGGUUCUUUAUACUUCAUGCAUGCUUGUCCAACGGUCACUGAUCCAGGGUCAGUACUGGAGUCAAGUGAGCAGGAAAAAGCACAAACAAACCUCUAUAAAUGCUGGUAAGCAGAAAAUUGUAUUGAUCUUACAUAUAUUAUUUACAUGUGUGUGUUGUACAACGACGUUGUGUGUUCACUGGGUCAGGAAAAAAAACUGCUUUAAACCAAUAUUAUUGUGUUACUGUACUCCAAAAACCCAUUAGCUGUAAUUUUCCUCUGUCUGUGCCGUAACUCAGGGUUCUUCUCAUUUGCUCAGCUCUGCGGCCUAUGGACCAACUCUCCUGGUGGUGCUUCGCUGGUAUACAAUGGUCCUGCAAAUAUCAGGGGUGAGUCAUUAUCUUGGGCUCAGCAUGUGUAGACAUUAUUGCAGUGUUGAACUAAUGAUAUGUAAUGAGCUCGCUGUGACA